GGAUGUCUGAGGGAGGGGCUCUAGGCAGUCCUGCUAGGCCGGGUCUGAGACCCCGGGGGAGUCCGGAGUGGGCCUGGCUCCCGGAGGAGUGGCCCCUAGGGUCUUGGUGUGGGGCCGGGUCCUGGAUGGGGAGGUCGGGGGUAAAAGGAUUACGGCUGCCCCCUGCUGGAGGAGACUGCCCCACGGGCCGAGGCCGUGCCCGAGGCCGGCAGGAGCAGGAGACGGAGGGGAGGAGGGUGCCAGCAGCCAGAGCCGGGCAGGCCCCCACCCUUUCUGUCCUCUUCAUGCUGACUGCUGCCUGGCCCGCUUGGCUUGUGCCACUCAGACCACCUGUCACCUGCCCAGAGGAGCCAGAUCUGACCAGCGUGGGCAGGAGCCGGUUUUCCGCACUGUUCUAGCAUUUGGACCUCGUUUCCUCUCUCCCUCUGAUACUUCAGCAGCCUCCCAGAGACAUCCCAGUGCAGGCCUCUUAGCAAGUCCCAGGCGGCCUACAGUCUAGACUCCUGUGCUGGCUUUACCUCCCAGGUAGGAGUGGGCCGCCAAGAUCUGAGACUCUUGGCACCUGUUUCUUCUUGGUGAAGUUAAUUUGGCCAACAACCAACAUUUACUGAGUUCUGGCCACACAGAUUGCUCCCUCUGACCACACAGUUGUACCUUCUGGCUUGCUUGGAAAAUGAUUCCCAGCCAUCUGGUUCCAGAUCUCUAGUACACUGACCUCUUUGUUUUUACUCCUCUGUGACAACCUUCCUCACCUCCACUUUCCUCUCAACAGCAUAGUCUGAAAUGUGCCUACGCUCUGGUUGGACUGGCUUCAGUACUCCAUCUGCCUGCUGCCCCCAUAUGCUGUAGAAGGUACAAGGUUGGUGUCUGCUGCCUUUGUAGACUUGAUAGAUAACUAAUGCCAUUUAGUCCACUGUGUAGUCAGACCGACUUCCCAUGUUCCCCUCCCAGUCCUCUUUUCAUCUUCACUCUAUUUCAGACUUUCCCCACCAGUGGUCUUAGAGAAUGACUUUUUUUUUUUUUUUUUUUUUACAGAGAUCACUGAAGCCAGAAAUCCUCAGUUCCCACAGUCCCUGACCUCCUGACGCUCCCCUUCCCACCAUUUACACUGAUGUUUCCCUUCCUUCUCUUCCAGGACAGUGGAAGAGAUGCUCUUCCUUCAGUCAAGGGCAUCUCCUGUAAAAUACCCUUUUGUUCUUGUGUGUUUUCAAACAUUCUCUCCUGGUUCCUUCAGAUCUCUGCCAACUUGAGCUCUAUAUCCCAUGCCCCUCUCCCGCUGCUACCCUCUCUCUACCCAGCUUCCAGCUCCCCUGUCCCCCAAAGCCAAACUUCCUUAAGUGCCACCAUCAUUUUUUUCUCACCAUUUUCUUAUUCUUUACCUCACUGUGUGUGACUUUUUCCCAACUAUAAUGGGGUUGAAAUGACUUUAACCAAGGUCACGAUGCCAAGUCAUUGUUUACUAUUUUUGACUUCUUGACUUUUACCCUGUUGACACUUGGUCCCCUCUGAAGCUGUCUCUUCUAUGGCAUUAAACUUUUGAAGUUUCCUUUGCCUCUCUGAAUGCUUCCUUGACAAUAUCUCUGUCUGUCCUUAUUCAAGACUGUUCCUCAGAGCCAUUCAGUCCCUGCUGCCUCCUUUAGCAUAAAAGAGUAGGUUUUAUUCAAGUGAGAAGAAAAGAGAUGGAGCUCCCACAAGAUGAGAAGGGAUCCAAAAGGGGUUGCCCCCUCAGUUUCUCCUUGCUGUAUACUCUCUUCCCAGGUGGUCUCACUCCCUCUUAUGGCUUCAAUUAUCAACAACUCUUGGGGUUUUUGUUUGUUUGUUUGUUUGUUUUUGCAGUAUUGGGGAUUGAACCUAGAGCCUCAUACAUGAUAGGUAAGUGCUCUACUACUGAGCUACAGCCCCAGCCCAGCUCUUGAAUCUUUUGUGUUGAUCUCUUCUCUGAGCUUCAGGCUCAUAUUACCACUGUCUCAAGUGGAUGUCAUAAAAUCAGUUUGUCAAAAAUACAGCUCAUUGUUUUCCUUUAAAAUGCAUUUGCUUUUUUAAGGUUUACCUCUAGCAUUUUCAGGGCCAUGGGCAGGAGCACAAGUGGAAGCCUACAUAUCACAUUUGGAGUAGUUGAAAGCACUCAAGCUAAAUAAAUUAUGUUAUGGUUUCUUACUCAGACACAUAAACUUUUCUAACAACCCAGAAGGUCAUAUUUGAAUUUAGAAUUCUUGUGCUUUCUGGAGUGCUGGGCCAGGAUGUGGUAGCUUAGGGAAAGCUGACUCCCUGACCCCAACCCUCAUUCUGCACUUCUCUUCCCUUCUGGGUUUGGCCCUACAGUACAAAGGGCCAUAUGCUUUUGAACACCCAAAGUCCCUGUGUCCAAGCUCUGCUCAUACCUCCCAAGCUGCAUUUCCUUCUCUGUUACUCUUGAAUGGGGUUGAAUCAGAAUCCUGAACCAGAGCACAAGGGAGAAGAAGGGUUGACCCAGAAAGAGGAAUUGAAGAUUGAGUUCAUGAAAGCGAAUCAAGAAAAAGAUUCAUGACCCCAUGAAAAAGGUUCAUCAUGGGAAUGGGUUUGGGAACCAGGCAGGGUAAGGAAGUGGCUAGAGGAAGAUGCCCUGAGGCAAUUAUAAGGAUCUGUCUUGGCUGGAUCUAGGGAUGGCAAGUUCUGCAUUCUCAGCAAGUGACAGCAUACAUUAUCGAGUCAUCUUAGCUGGGAAAGCAACAAACUCUGGAUGCUCUCUUUAUCCUCCCUCAAAUCCAAGCAGUUAGGUUUUCUGUUUUCUUAAUAACUUGAAUGGAUUUCUCUUCAUCUUGAAGUUCAUGCUAUCAUCUCCCACCUAAGUGAUUGCAACAGCCCGAGUCUAACCUGUCUCCUUGCCUUGGUCUUGUUUCCCUAGAAUCCAUUUCUCCAUAGCAACUGGAAUGAUCUUUCUGAGUACAAAUGUGAUUACUCCAUUAGAAAGCACAAGUUUCUGCUUAUUGCCUUUAGGAGAAAGUCCGAGCUCUUUAGCAUGUCAUUCACAGUAUUUGGUGAUCUGACCCCUGCUCACCUCUCUAACUGCAUUGUUCAGCUCUUCCUGGUUCCUAACACAUAUAAAAUACCAUGCACAUACUCCCCAAAAUGAACAGCCAUAUAAAUUCACAUAAACAAUACACAUUCACACUAUCAGAGAUGAGGCAUAUAUGAACUUGAACGCCCACACCACAUACAUUCCCACACUGUAAUACAGUAGCUCACAAAUAUACACGCUUAUAACCCUGUGCGUGUAUGCAUUCACAACAUACUCUGAAAGCUCACACACCACAUUCUGUCACGUUCUCCUGCAUAUUUUCCACACACAUUCAUACACACUCACAUAUUCACACCCUGUACACCUCAGUCACUCAUACACCCACACCACAAAACUUAAGUACCACAUACUCUCAGACCAUGCAUGCUUACACGGUCGGACCUUUAACCAUACUCAUCUAGUUCUUAUUCCUGCAACCUCUAGCACCAGGCCUUUUUUCAAGCUGGUCUUUCUUCUGGAAUGCUUCUUUCUGGGUUGCUUUCCUGCAGAAAGCCUUUCCUGAACCCGAAGCUUGGAAGAUCUGAAGGAUUCCCUUUAGAAUCAAACCUAAGGCUUACUUGUUUAGUCUGGAAGUAAGAAACUAGAGUUUAGCUUCUUAAACUGAGGUUUCUUAAAUGUACUUCUCCCAAGCAUAUAAUUUUUGUCACCCUGUCUGUUGUCUCAUAGUCCUUAAUGGUACAAAAUUUAAAACAGGAGGGGUCUGGGUAGGGUGGUCCCUAUAGAAAUGAAAUUCCAGCUGGAUGGCAGGGAACCCAGUGGUAGGAGGAAGGGGAGUAAGACUGCAGGGAAGUGACCGCAGACCUGCAGGGCUUUUGUGUCUUGAUGCACUUGCCCAGCUUUUCAGAAGUGUGUCUAGUUUGGAGUGAGUCAAGUUCUAGGGAUUUGUUUAGCCUGCAGGAUCCUCCGAGGGGAUCUUUACUUCCAGUGGAGUGUUGAAGCUGUGCAGUGGGUAGGCUGGCAGCGUCUGAAGUACAGGGAUUGAGGUGAAUCAGGGCGGGGGUUGAAUGACCCAGCUUGGGAACUCAGGAAGAGGGCCUCAGAGGAGGGUUAUUAGUCUCAAAUGUCAUGCAGAGGUGGAGAAGGAUGUGGCACCUAGGAGGCCACCCACAGCCUUUCUAGAACAGCAGCAUUUGGAGUCUGUUGCCAAAUUGUACAGGCUUAAAUAGGCAGAGAACAGAAAUCAAAGUCCUCCUCUCAGGGAAGGAGGAAGAGUUCAUGUCUGCUGAUGAACAGAGGAGAGUGCCAGGUAGGGAGGGCAAGGUACAGUCCCAGGACAGAGCAAAGGUCACUGCACGGGUGAGUGGGCUCUGAGUGCAUGUGGAAAUUCUACAUUGGACAGGAAGGAACACAGCUUCCUCCAGGACAGGAAGGAUAUUGUAGGGAGGGAAGUGAAUGUAACAACCACCAGUGUUUUAUCAUCUGCUUCCACCUUGGUAACCUCUAGCAACACAGGCUGUUAGCCACAGACUCCUAUGGCCACCCCCCAUCACCACCACCAAAUUCUCCCUCUGGUAUCUUCAGUGCUAAGCAUUUUUUGCUCAUAGCUUUCCAUUCUUUGAGCUCUCCCUCCUCCAUGUCACCACACUCAGUUCUGUGGCCUCUAUUGCCUCCUGGCCUCUGAGUACCCGCCACCCCCACCACAGUCUCCACAUAGGCCUAGCCCAUGGAGCAUCCCUUCAGUUGCUUUGCUGCGAACACCUGCACCUUCUUCACUUGCUCUUCUGUCUCACCCUCCUCUGUACAUUUCCAGCCCCAUGCUAAUAGGCACCACCCUCAGGCUUCAGUCCUGUUUCCUCUCCAAAGCUUCUACAUGUGGGUUGUUAGGUGCUUCCUGGCCAUUUCUAACGGGAGAGUAAUGGGGUGCUAAUGAUGAGGGUUGGGGUAGGCUAAGGGCUAGAGUUGGGGGUCAAGGGUGGGAAGGCCGAGGGUUCAUUACAUACUGGACCCAGCAGGCUAGCACAGUUGGAUUCCAGAGCUGGGAAAUUCAUGUCUUGCAGUGCUGCUUGGAAGUUUGGUUGAGGGAAGGAGUGCCUACUCUUCAGUGAGUAGAAUGGGGACCUAGUUUUGCCUUUUCAUUUCUAUGGUCCUGUGUGCUCACACUCCCUUCCUUCACUUAGUAGGGCCAAUGUCCCCAAGUUUGUUACUAUCUGUGCCUUCCCUCCAUAGUUUCCUGAGACCCCAAGCACACUGAGUCUCUCCUCACUCAGCAGCCUCACCAUUUCCUUCCCACUGUCCUUGGACCCAGGCCUCUUAUAGUUACCCUGGCGUUGAGAAGGACUUGCUGCCAUCUCUCCGAGCCCACUGGUGAGCCCACUGAUGUUAAGGCCGCCUGCCUGAGUCUUGAUUGCAGACUUGAGCUCCUGAUUCUCCCGAAUGAGCCGCACAAGCUUCUUCAGUUCCUCAUUCUCCCGCACCAGCCUCUCUAUCUGAUGCCGAAGCCCCUCAUAAUUGGUGAGUAGAGACAUGCCCCAGGGCAGCAGGGAGGGUGCUGCCCACAGGAGGGCACUGCACCUGGAGGCUGCCCAGGGCCCCGGGCCUU
rnacentral:lncRNA from 1 species